rnacentral:rRNA from 1 species
CUCUCUUUACUUGGAUAACUGUAGUAAAUCUAGAGCUAAUACAUGCGAAAAAAUCUAUUUCAUUUUUAAUGAAAGAGAUUGUAUUUAUUAGACUAAAAACCAUGAUCUUUCUUUCUCACUCUCAACACACACAUUCUCACUUCAUUGAUUCAUUCUCAUUUUUCCCAACACCUUCAUAUGAUUUAUCUCGUAUGAUCAUGAGAAUGUGAUAUGGGGUGGUGAGUACUUUUUCUUCUUAUCUCUCUGUUUUUCAACAGAUAGAUAGAUAUUAUUCAUGGUGAUUCAUAAUAACUUCACGAAUCGCAUUGGCCUUUGUGCUGGCGAUGGUACAUUCAAAUUUCUGCCCUAUCAACUAUGAUGGUAGGAUAGAGGCCUACCAUGGUUUUAACGGGUGACGGAGUAUUAGGGUACUGUACCGGAGAGGGAGCCUGAGAGAUGGCUACCACUUCUAAGGAAGGCAGCAGGCGCGCAAAUUACCCAAUCCUGACUCAGGGAGGUAGUGACAAGAAAUAACAAUACUCGACCCGAAAUGGGCCGUGUAAUUGGAAUGAGUACAAUUUAAACCCCUUAACGAGUAACAAUUGGAGGGCAAGUCUGGUGCCAGCAGCCGCGGUAAUUCCAGCUCCAAUAGUGUAUAUUAAAUUUGUUGCGGUUAAAACGCUCGUAGUUGGAUCUAAGAAUUGAUUUACUUGGGAGAUUGUGACUGUCUCAGCGAUGUUUCGGUUGUGAUUUCCUGUAUCAAUUCUUUUAAUUUCUUUUUUGAUGGUUAUUAACUUGAAUAUUCAUUUAUUCAAGAAAUAAAAUUAAUUUCCAUCUCAUUUACUUUGAAUAAAUUAGAGUGUUUAAAGCAGACGAUUUUUUGUCAUUGAAUACAUCAGCAUGGGAUAAUAGAAUAGGACUUUGGUUCUAUUUUUUUUGAUUUUGGAUUCCAAAAUCAAUGAUUUGGUUUUUAGAACUAAAGUAAUGAUUAAUAGGGAUAGUUGGGGGCAUUAGUAUUUAAUUGUCAGAGGUGAAAUUCUUGGAUUUAUGAAAGACUAACUUCUGCGAAAGCAUUUGCCAAGGAUGUUUUCAUUAAUCAAGAACGAAAGUUAGGGGAUCGAAGACGAUCAGAUACCGUCGUAGUCUUAACCAUAAACUAUGCCGACCAAGGAUUGGGAGACGUUAAAAUAAGAUUAAAUGAAUUAAAACCCCAUUUAAUCUAUGACCCCCCCAGCACUUACGAGAAAUCAUAA